GGGGCUUCGGCCCCUAGUAAAGCGGCGAACGGGUGAGUAACGCGUGGGGAACCUGCCUUCGGGUGGGGGAUAACACUCCUAACGGGGUGCUAAUACCGCAUGACAUCCUCGGGUCGCAUGGCCUGAGGAUCAACGGUGGCCUCUGCUUGCAAGCUAUCGCCCGAAGAUGGCCCCGCGUCCGAUUAGCUAGUUGGUGAGGUAACGGCUCACCAAGGCCACGAUCGGUAGCUGGUCUGAGAGGAUGGUCAGCCACACUGGGACUGAGAUACGGCCCAGACUCCUACGGGAGGCAGCAGUCGAGAGGCUUCGGCAAUGGGGGAAACCCUGACCGAGCGACGCCGCGUGAGGGAUGACGCCCUUCGGGGUGUAAACCUCUUUUCUGAGGGAAGAACCCCGGGAAGUCGAACAAGCUUUCCGGCUGACGGUACCUUAGGAAUAAGCUCCGGCCAACUCCGUGCCAGCAGCCGCGGUAACACGGGGGGAGCAAACGUUGAUCGGAAUUACUGGGCGUAAAGGGCGCGUAGGCGGCCUCGUAAGUGGUGUGUGAAAU
rnacentral:rRNA from 1 species